rnacentral:rRNA from 1 species
AUUGAACGCUGGCGGCAGGCCUAACACAUGCAAGUCGAGCGGUAGAGAGAAGCUUGCUUCUCUUGAGGGCGGCGGACGGGUGAGUAAUGCCUAGGAAUCUGCCUGGUAGUGGGGGAUAACGUUCGGAAACGGACGCUAAUACCGCAUACGUCCUACGGGAGAAAGCAGGGGACCUUCGGGCCUUGCGCUAUCAGAUGUGCCUAGGUCGGAUUAGCUAGUUGGUGGGGUAAUGGCUCACCAAGGCGACGAUCCGUAACUGGUCUGAGAGGAUGAUCAGUCACACUGGAACUGAGACACGGUCCAGACUCCCACGGGAGGCAGCAGUGGGGAAUAUUGGACAAUGGGCGAAAGCCUGAUCCAGCCAUGCCGCGUGUGUGAAGAAGGUCUUCGGAUUGUAAAGCACUUUAAGUUGGGAGGAAGGGCAGUAAAUUAAUACUUUGCUGUUUUGACGUUACCGACAGAAUAAGCACCGGCUAACUCUGUG